AUACCAGACUCCUACGGGAGGCAGCAGUGGGGAAUAUUGCACAAUGGGGGAAACCCUGAUGCAGCGACGCCGCGUGAGCGAUGAAGUAUUUCGGUAUGUAAAGCUCUAUCGGCAGGGAAGAAGAUGACGGUACCUGACUAAGAAGCCCCGGCUAACUACGUGCCAGCAGCCGCGGUAAUACGUAGGGGGCAAGCGUUGUCCGGAUUUACUGGGUGUAAAGGGCGUGUAGCCGGGCUGACAAGUCAGAUGUGAAAUCCGGGGGCUCAACCCCCGAACUGCAUUUGAAACUGUUGGUCUUGAGUAUCGGAGAGGCAGGCGGAAUUCCUAGUGUAGCGGUGAAAUGCGUAGAUAUUAGGAGGAACACCAGUGGCGAAGGCGGCCUACUGGACGGUGACUGACGCUGAGGCUCGAAAGCGUGGGGAGCAAACAGGAUUAGAUACCCGCGUA
rnacentral:rRNA from 1 species